CUAUGAUUUUAGGAUUCUAUUCUGAUCUCUACCUUUACAAAAAAAAAAAAUCCUACAUCUGAGAAUUGCAUAUUGGGAGUUAAGAUGAUGUAAUAAAGGACACUACUCAUCUGAACAUUCCACAUACACACACAUAUACAAGAAGAAAAACUGCCUCAAAACAAAGCAAGAAGAAUAUGCUUCACUGGGGUAAUAAGAGAGAGUAGUCCAGGGGUACAGCCUUUAUGGGAACCAACAUAACAUAGACUGCCAGAAGCAGUCGAGGAUAACUGUCAUCAUCUUCUUCCUCUUUUCCUACUCACCAACCACUGAAUAAUGGGAAGAAGAAACGGAGAUCCAGAGAUGCUAAAUAUAGCUAAGUUUUUAAACGUCCAAAGUUCCCCAGGUAAUAAGGAUCUGUAAUGGGAUUUGAAUCAGAGCCUCUAACUCCAAAUAUAUUGCUUUUUUGAACAAAAACAAGUGGGUUCCCUAAACAUACUAAAUACGCAAUAAAUUAUUGGGGAACUGAUCUAAAAUGACA
rnacentral:lncRNA from 1 species